rnacentral:rRNA from 1 species
GAUGAACGCUGGCGGCGUGCUUAACACAUGCAAGUCGAACGGAAAGGCUCCUGCUUGCAGGGGUACUCGGGUGGCGAACGGGUGAGUAACACGUGGGUGAUCUGCCCUGCACUUCGGGAUAAGCCUGGGAAACUGGGUCUAAUACCGGAUAGGACCACAUUUUGGAUGGUGUGGUGGAAAGUUUUUCGGUGUGGGAUGAGCUCGCGGCCUAUCAGCUUGUUGGUGGGGUAAUGGCCUACCAAGGCGUCGACGGGUAGCCGGCCUGAGAGGGUGUACGGCCACAUUGGGACUGAGAUACGGCCCAGACUCCUACGGGAGGCAGCAGUGGGGAAUAUUGCACAAUGGGCGCAAGCCUGAUGCAGCGACGCCGCGUGGGGGAUGACGGCCUUCGGGUUGUAAACUCCUUUCGCUAGGGACGAAGCGCAAGUGACGGUACCUGGAGAAGAAGCACCGGCUAACUACGUG